rnacentral:rRNA from 1 species
GACGAACGCUGGCGGCGUGCUUAACACAUGCAAGUCGAACGGAAAGGCCCUGCUUUUGUGGGGUGCUCGAGUGGCGAACGGGUGAGUAACACGUGAGUAACCUGCCCUUGACUUUGGGAUAACUUCAGGAAACUUGGGCUAAUACCGGAUAGGAGCUCCUGCUGCAUGGUGGGGGUUGGAAAGUUUCGGCGGUUGGGGAUGGACUCGCGGCUUAUCAGCUUGUUGGUGGGGUAGUGGCUUACCAAGGCUUUGACGGGUAGCCGGCCUGAGAGGGUGACCGGCCACAUUGGGACUGAGAUACGGCCCAGACUCCUACGGGAGGCAGCAGUGGGGAAUAUUGCACAAUGGGCGGAAGCCUGAUGCAGCAACGCCGCGUGCGGGAUGACGGCCUUCGGGUUGUAAACCGCUUUCGCCUGUGACGAAGCGUGAGUGACGGUAAUGGGUAAAGAAGCACCGGCUAACUACGUGCCAGCAGCCGCGGUGAUACGUAGGGUGCGAGCGUUGUCCGGAUUUAUUGGGCGUAAAGGGCUCGUAGGUGGUUGAUCGCGUCGGAAGUGUAAUCUUGGGGCUUAACCCUGAGCGUGCUUUCGAUACGGGUUGACUUGAGGAAGGUAGGGGAGAAUGGAAUUCCUGGUGGAGCGGUGGAAUGCGCAGAUAUCAGGAGGAACACCAGUGGCGAAGGCGGUUCUCUGGGCCUUUCCUGACGCUGAGGAGCGAAAGCGUGGGGAGCGAACAGGCUUAGAUACCCUGGUAGUCCACGCUGUAAACGGUGGGUACUAGGUGUGGGGUCCAUUCCACGGGUUCCGUGCCGUAGCUAACGCUUUAAGUACCCCGCCUGGGGAGUACGGCCGCAAGGCUAAAACUCAAAGGAAUUGACGGGGCCCCGCACAAGCGGCGGAGCAUGCGGAUUAAUUCGAUGCAACGCGUAGAACCUUACCUGGGUUUGACAUGGAUCGGGAGUGCUCAGAGAUGGGUGUGCCUCUUUUGGGGUCGGUUCACAGGUGGUGCAUGCCUGUCGUCAGCUCGUGUCGUGAGAUGUUGGGUUAAGUCCCGCAACGAGCGCAACCCUUGUUCACUGUUGCCAGCACGUUAUGGUGGGGACUCAGUGGAGACCGCCGGGGUCAACUCGGAGGAAGGUGGGGAUGACGUCAAGUCCUCAUGCCCCUUAUGUCCAGGGCUUCACGCAUGCUGCAAUGGCUGGUACAGAGAGUGGCGAGCCUGUGAGGGUGAGCGAAUCUCGGAAAGCCGGUCUCAGUUCGGAUUGGGGUCUGCAACUCGACCUCAUGAAGUCGGAGUCGCUAGUAAUCGCAGAUCAGCAACGCUGCGGUGAAUACGUUCCCGGG